rnacentral:rRNA from 1 species
GACGAACGCUGGCGGCGUGCUUAACACAUGCAAGUCGAACGGAAAGGCCCUGCUUUUGUGGGGUGCUCGAGUGGCGAACGGGUGAGUAACACGUGAGUAACCUGCCCCUGACUUUGGGAUAACUUCAGGAAACUGGGGCUAAUACCGGAUAGGAGCUCCUGCUGCAUGGUGGGGGUUGGAAAGUUUCGGCGGUUGGGGCUGGACUCGCGGCUUAUCCGCUUGUUGGUGGGGUAGUGGAUUACCAAGGGUUUGACGGGUAGCCGGCCUGGGAGGGUGACCGGCGACAAUGGGACUGAGAGACGGCCCAGACUCGUACGGGAGGCAGCAGUGGGGAAUAUUGCACAGUGGGCGGAAGUCUGAUGCGGCAACGCCGCGUGCGGGAUGACGGCCUUCGGGUUGUAAACCGCUUUCGCCUGUGACGAAGCGUGAGUGACGGUAAUGGGUAAAGAAGCACCGGCUAACUACGUG